rnacentral:rRNA from 1 species
UACGGAGGGUGCAAGCGUUAUCCGGAUUCACUGGGUUUAAAGGGUGCGUAGGCGGGCAGGUAAGUCCGUGGUGAAAUCUCCGAGCUUAACUCGGAAACUGCCAUGGAUACUAUUUGUCUUGAAUGUUGUGGAGGUGAGCGGAAUAUGUCAUGUAGCGGUGAAAUGCUUAGAUAUGACAUAGAACACCAAGUGCGAAGGCAGCUCACUACACAAAUAUUGACGCUGAGGCACGAAAGCGUGGGGAUCAAACAGG